rnacentral:snoRNA from 1 species
UUCCAAUGAUGAUCAAAGGUUUUCUCAAUCAGUUCUGCUUCUGAAUCUCAUUGAAGAAUCCAUUACCAAAGCUUACCAAAUUUUCUGAUCU